rnacentral:tRNA from 2 species
GCGGGAGUAAUUCAGUGGUAGAAUGCCUCCUUGCCAAGGAGGAUGUCGAGAGUUCGAAUCUCUUCUCCCGCUCCA